rnacentral:rRNA from 1 species
CAGCCGCCGCGGGAAUACGUAGGGUGCAAGCGUUAAUCGGAAUUACUGGGCGUAAAGCGUGCGCAGGCGGUUUUGUAAGACAGAGGUGAAAUCCCCGGGCUCAACCUGGGAACUGCCAUUGUGACUGCAAGGCUGGAGUGCGGCAGAGGGGGAUGGAAUUCCGCGUGUAGCAGUGAAAUGCGUAGAUAUGCGGAGGAACACCGAUGGCGAAGGCAAUCCCUGGGUCAAUACUGACGCCCAUGCACGAAAGCGUGGGGAGCAAACAGGAUUAGAUACCCCCGUAGUCCCUGUCUCUUAUACA